rnacentral:rRNA from 1 species
UCGGGAAUUUUGGGCAAUGGGCGAAAGCCUGACCCAGCAACGCCGCGUGAAGGAUGAAGUAUUUCGGUAUGUAAACUUCGAAAGAAUAGGAAGAAUAAAUGACGGUACUAUUUAUAAGGUCCGGCUAACUACGUGCCAGCAGCCGCGGUAAUACGUAGGGACCAAGCGUUGUUCGGAUUUACUGGGCGUAAAGGGCGCGUAGGCGGCAAUUCAAGUCAUCUGUGAAAUCUCUGGGCUUAACCCAGAACGGCCAAGUGAUACUGUCGCGCUAGAGUGCAGAAGGGGCAAUCGGAAUUCUUGGUGUAGCGGUGAAAUGCGUAGAUAUCAAGAGGAACACCUGAGGUGAAGACGGGUUGCUGGGCUGACACUGACGCUGAGGCGCGAAAGCCAGGGGAGCAAACGGGAUUAGAUACCCACGUAGUCCCUGAGCGGGCUGGCAAGGCGCAU